rnacentral:ncRNA from 1 species
UUUUAUAUUAUUAUAGUAAAUUAAUUUAAUUGAAAAUUUUUAAUUUAUAUAAAAAAAUUUUUGAAAAUAAAAUAAAGUAAUAUUUAAAAUUAAUUAAUUAAUUAAUUUUUGAAUUAGAAAUUUUAAAAAACUUUAACAAAUAAAUGUGCCAGCAGUUGCGGUUAAACAAUUAAAGUAAUUUAAAUUAUUAAAUAAUUAUUAUUAUUUAAUAAAAAUUAUUAUAAAUUUAAAAUUUUAGGUGAAAUUUAAAUUUUAUAUAUAUAUWUUUUUUUWAAAAAAAUGUCUUUGGUAUAAAAUUAAACUAGGAUUAGAUACCCUAUUAUUUAUAUUUAAGUUUUAUAUUAUUGAUUAGUAAAUGUUGAAUCAUUAAAUUUAAUGAAUAUGGGGGUAAUUUAAAGAUUUAGGGGAACUUGAAAUAUAAAUUGAUAAUCCACGAUUUAAUUUACUUUAUUUUUUUUUUUGUUUUGUAUGUUUGUUUAAUUAAUUUAAUUUUAAAAAAUUAUUUAUAAUUUUUGUUAAAAAAUUAUUCAAAUCAAUAUUUACUUAUAAUAAAGAAAUUUUGAGUUACAAUAAAUUUAAUUUUUGAAUAAAAUUUUUAAAAAAUGUUUUUGAAAUUGGAUUUAAAAGUAAAAUUUUUGAAAAAUUUAAUUUUGAAUAAAUUUUAAAUUGUCUACAAACUGCCCGUCACUCUUUUUUAAUAAAGAUAAGUCGUAACAAGGUAAAUAUAUUGGAAAAUAUAUUUAGAAUUUUUU